UUAUGUGGGGCAGUGAGGGUGUUAUGUGGGGCAGUGAGGGUGUGUUAUGUGGGGCAGUGAGGGUGUUAUGUGGGGCAGUGAGGGUGUGUUAUGUGGGGCAGCAGGGCAGUGAUGGUGUGUUAUGUGGGGCAGUGAGGGUGUUAUGUGGGGCAGCAGGGCAGUGAUGGUGUGUUAUGUGGGGCAGUGAGGGUGUGUUAUGUGGGCAGUGAGGGUGUGUUAUGGGGGCAGUGAGGGUGUUAUGUGGGGCAGUGAGGGUGUUAUGUGGGGCAGUGAGGGUGUUAUGUGGGGCAGUGAGGGUGUGUUAUGUGGGGCAGCAGGGCAGUGAUGGUGUGUUAUGUGGGGCAGUGAGGGUGUUAUGUGGGGCAGCAGGGCAGUGAGGGUGCGUUAUGGGGGGGCAGUGAGGGUGUGUUAUGUGGGGCAGCAUGGCAGUGAGGGUGUAUGUGGGGCAGUGAGGGUGUUAUGUGGGGCAGUGAGGGUGUUAUGUGGGGCAGUGAGGGUGUGUUAUGUGGGGCAGCAGGGCAGUGAUGGUGUGUUAUGUGGGGCAGUGAGGGUGUUAUGUGGGGCAGCAGGGCAGUGAUGGUGUGUUAUGUGGGGCAGUGAGGGUGUGUUAUGUGGGCAGUGAGGGUGUGUUAUGGGGGCAGUGAGGGUGUUAUGUGGGGCAGUGAGGGUGUUAUGUGGGGCAGUGAGGGUGUGUUAUGGGGG
ensembl:lncRNA